AUGGUUAAGUUAUCUACCAACCUGACAGGAAUGGAUUCCAGAUAUAUGGAACACCAUCGCCUCACUCUUUGCCAGUAUACUCCUGGAAGGGCAAGCCUAUGGGUCCUUUUCUGCCAGGGAGACGUCAGGUGGAGAACCCUUCACUGUGUCCCCAAGCCUCAUCUGUCACCUUCUCCAGCUCCAUCUGGGCUUCCGGAGAGAGGGCUGCAUGAUCGAAACAGUGCAGGACACUCAGAGCCAAGUGCCCACAGCCACACCAGGAAGCAAGACCACAGCUUGUUCGACUCUCGAGAAGUCAUCGGGAAAGCGGCCCUGGAAGUCAGCCUGAUGUGGAAUUGGGGGUGACGAGACUGCAAGCUGACAUCUGAUUUCUCGGCAGGGAGCAGGAGGCACCAGAUGACGGAUCCGGGGUAUUGGGGCCUGCUGGCCUGCGCUGCCCGUGGGGGAGUGGGUGGCUGGUGGUCCAAAGUCACUAAGCAAGGGGCUGUUAAUUGAAAAGUGUCUGACACACGGCACUUGCACUUCCACGGGGCUUCAUCCUUCCAACUGUGGCAUGAUGAGUGUGUUGGCGCAGGAAUCCAGCCAGCCCUGGGUGGCUUCCACUGCCUCUGGACCAAGGCAGAUUUCCUCAAGCAGGGCAAAGCACGUCCUUGCCACCCUUGACUUUAAUCAGUCGCAGGAUGGGAACCGAUGGUAAAGCGACCAAUGUUCAUUUAGAGACGCCGUAUUGAUUUCUGAGACCGGAUCUUCCGCUUCCUUAGCUGGGAUUGUGGCAAAGAAGUGGUUCCCUCUAAGACCCAGCUGGGUGAAUGUGGUUCAGUGGUACCUGGUGACAAUUCGAAGUGUGCCUGUCCAAUCUCCCAUCUGUGCCCAUCACCCCUGAUGUCCCUGCGGCGUGGACACCGAGCUGACCAGGCCGGAAGCCUCACGAACUGAUGAGAUACCAAAUACUUUCAGUCACCUUGGAAGGAAAUCACUUAAAAGACUGCAACUGUUGGGACGCCUGGGUGGCUCAAUGGUUGAGCGUCUGCCUUUGGCUCAUGUCGUGAUUCCAGGGUCCUGAGAUCAAGUCCCGAAUCAGACUCCCCACAGGGAGCCUGCUUAUGUCUCUGCCUCUCUCUGUGUCUCUCAUGAAUAAAUACAUAANAAUAAAUAAAUAAAUAAAUAAA
rnacentral:lncRNA from 1 species